rnacentral:rRNA from 1 species
AGCGAACGUUUGCGGCGGGCUUAACACAUGCAAGUCGAACGGGCUGUUCCUUCGGGGGCAGUCAGUGGCGCACGGGUGCGUAACACGUAGGUAAUCAACCCUCUGGUUGGGGAUAACACUUCGAAAGGGAGUGCUAAUACCCGGUAUGGCGCAGCGGUCUUCGGAUCGCGGCGAGAAAGACCCGCAAGGGUUGCCAGAGGACGAGCCUGCGGCCCAUCAGCUAGUUGGCGAGGUAACGGCUCACCAAGGCGAAGACGGGUAGCUGGUCUGAGAGGAUGAUCAGCCACACUGGAACUGAGACACGGUCCAGACUCCUACGGGAGGCAGCAGUGGGGAAUAUUGCGCAAUGGGCGAAAGCCUGACGCAGCCACGCCGCGUGAGCGAUGAAGGCCUCGGUCGGUAA